rnacentral:misc_RNA from 1 species
AAGAAAAUGAGCAGCCUGAUCUGGAUGUCAUUUCAAGAGGUCUUCCAUCUGGAUGGAAGGCUUAUUGGGAUGAUUCGACGAAGCAGGUCUAUUAUGGAAAAGCUGUGACAUCAGAAACGUCCUGGAAUAGACCAACUAACUGACGAGGAUCAAUAGGAGUUCCUAUAUUACAUACUUUUUAUAACACCAGUGGUUCUAAUAUUAUUAGCAGUUGCUAUCUUGUAUAUAUGUAAGGUUGUAGUGAUGUGAUCCAG